UCGAUGGGAAACGGGUUAAUAUUCCCGUACUUCUUACAAUUGCGAUGGGGGGACGGAGAAGGCUAGGUGGGCCUGGCGACGGUUGUCCAGGUUCAAGUGCGUAGGCUUAAGAGUUAGGUAAAUCCGGCUCUUUCUAAGGCUGAGACACGACGUCGAGCAUCUACGGAUGUGAAGUCAUUGAUGCCAUGCUUCCAGGAAAAGCCUCUAAGCUUCAGAUUGUAAGGAAUCGUACCCCAAACCGACACAGGUGGUCGGGUAGAGAAUACCAAGGCGCUUGAGAGAACUCGGGUGAAG
rnacentral:rRNA from 1 species